rnacentral:rRNA from 1 species
AAACGCUUGGAGUCAGUCACGUCUGUCGGAACUCAGCCUUGCUUCUGCUAGGUCCACUUUCCGACGGACGGGCCAGCAUCGGUUUCGAGCGGCGGACACUGGCGUGGGGAAGGUGGCGGCUCCGGCCGUGUUAUAGCCCCGCGUCGCGAACGCCGCGCGGGACCGAGGAAUCCGGCGCAAGCCUGGGAUGCUGGCGUAAUGGCUUUAAACGA